UAGGAGUCCAAUAGGAUUCUAAUAGGAUUUUGAUCGGAGUCCAAUAGGAUUCUACUAGGAUUCUGAUAGGAGUCCAAUAGGAUUCUAAUAGGAGUCCAAUAGGAUUAUAAUAGGAUUCUGAUAGGAAGGAGUCCAAUAGGAUUAUAAUAGGAUUCUGAUAGGAAGGAGUCCAAUAGGAUUCUAAUGGGAUUCUGAUAGGAGUGACACAAAAAACUGUAGGAUAGUAUCCGUAUCCGUAAGCUACACCGCUGCUGUCGUCCUUACAUCUAAGCAGUCAUUGAAAUUGGAUGAUGUUUUGAUGCCGACUGCAGUCGCACCAUUGGAAGACAUAGCUUGGACUGUAGCUUACAAAAGCCUAUUUCUGCUCUUUUCCUGCGAUCCAUCAAACACAUUUGGUGUGUCAUCAUAGUGGUCGUUGAUUAGUGGUCAGACUCGUUUAGGCAGAAAAAAAUUCAACAGGCACCUUUAUAAAAAAAAAAAUUGUACCCACAAAACACCAGUCUCAACGUCAACAGUGAAGAGGCGACUCCGGGAUGCUGGCCUUCUAGGCAGAGUUGCAAAGAAAAAGCCAUAUCUCAGACUGGCCAAUAAAAAUAAAAGAUUAAGAUGGGCAAAAGAACACAGACACUGGACAGAGGAUCUCUGCCUAGAAGGCCAGCAUCCCAUUGACGUUGAGACUGGUGUUUUGCGGGUACUAUUUAAUGAAGCUGCCAGUUGAGGACUUGUGAGGUGUCUGUUUCUCAAACUAGACACUAUAAUGUACUUGUCCUUUUGCUCAGUUGUGCACCGGGGCCUCCCACUCCUCUUUCUAUUCUGGUUAGGGCCAGUUUGCUCUGUUCUGUGAAGGGAGUAGUACACAGCUUUGUACGAGAUCUUCAGUUUCUUGACAAUUUCUCGCAUGGAAUAGACUUCCUUUCUCAGAACAAGAAUAGACUGAUGAGUUUCAGAAGAAAGGUUUUUUUUUCUGGAUGUUUUGAGCCUGUAAUCAAACCCAUAAAUGUUGUUGCUCCAGAUACUCAACUAGUCUAAAGAAGGCCAGUUUUAUUGCUUCUUUAAUCAGAACAACAGUUUUCAGCUGUGCUAACAUAAUUGUAAAAGGGUUUUCUAAUGAUCAAUUAGCCUUUUAAAAUGAUCAACUUGGAUUAGCUAACACAACGUGCCAUUGGAACACAGGAUUGAAGGUUGCUGAUAAUGGACCUCUGUACGCCUAUGUAGAUAUUCCAUAAAAAAUCUGCCGUUUCCAGCUACAAUAGUCAUUUACAACAUUAACAAUGUCUACACUGUAUUUCUGAUCAAUUUGACAUGAUUGUAAUGGACAAAAAAUGUGCUUUUAUUUCAAAAACAAGGACAUUUCUAAGUGACCCCAAACUUUUGAACGGUAGAACGGUAUAAAGCUCUUUUACAUCAGCUGAUAUCACAAAGUGCUGUACAGAAACCCAGCCUAAAAUGCAGGUGUAGAAGCAUGAUGGCUAGGAAAACCUCCCUAGAAAGGCAGGAACCUAGAAAGAAACCUAGUACUUAAAUUCACACAGGAAACCGGAUAAGACAGGAGACCCACUUUGCCUAUCCCGAGACAAGGCCGAGUAUAGCCCACGAAGAUCUCCCCCACGGCACGAACAGGUUACGGUCAAUAAUACCAAAGGUAGCACUGAAAUCUAUAGUGCAGCUCUCAUAAUCUUCUUAUUUUCAAUUUAUUUCAACCAAUCAUCAGUCAUUUGUGUCAGUGCAGUACAUGUUGAGUACCCUUCUCUAUAAGCAUGCCGAAAGUCUGUUGUUAAUUUGUUCACAGAGAAUAGCAUUGUAUUUGGUCAAACACCAUUUUUUCCAACAGUAUGUUCAGAGCUGGCAGCAAGCUGAUUGGUCUGCUGUUAGAACCAGUAAAAGCCUCUUUACCACUCUUGGGUAGCAGAAUGACUUUGGCUUCCCUCCAGACCUGAGGACAAACACUUUCCUCUAGACUCAGAUUAAAGAUAUGACAGAUUGGAGUGACUAUAGAGUCAGCUACCACCCUCAGUAGCUUUCCAUCUAAGUUGUCAAUGCCAGGAGGUUUGUCAUUAUUGAUCGUUAACAAUCAUUUUUCCACACUAUCGUUACAAAAUUCAAGUUUGCAAAGCUUUUCUUUCAUUAUUUGUUUUUUUAUGCAUGAAUAUGAUGUUGUUGACACUUCCUGCCCAUGAAUAUGAUGUUGUUGACACUUCCUGCCUAUGAAUAUGAUGUUGUUGACACUUCCUGCCCAUGAAUAUGAUGUUGUUGACACUUCCUGCCCAUGAAUAUGAUGUUGUUGACACUUCCUGCCCAUGAAUAUGAUGUUGUUGACACUUCCUGCCCAUGAA
ensembl:lncRNA